CAUGAGUGUGGGCACAUCGUGGAACAUCUUGAGAUCGGAUACUGUUGAAUCACUUAUGUACCUAUGGCGCUUGACGGGGAAUACAAUGUACCAAGAUUGGGGGUGGGACAUAUUCUAGGCAUUUGAGAAGAACUCCCGUGUAGAAUCUGGAUAUGUGGGACUGAGAGAUGUGAACACUGGUGAAAAAGAUAACAUGAUGCAGAGCUUCUUCCUGGCAGAGACGCUCAAGUACCUCUACCUACUUUUCUCCCCUCCAUCAGUCAUAUCCUUUGAGGAGUGUGUUUUCAAUACUGAAGCUCACCCAUUGAGAAUUGCUCCAGUAAAUGGUAACAAAGGCAUUGGAACAUCGGUCCGUCCAUUCGGGAGAAAACAGGGAAAUCCUGAGUAACCUUGGAUAAAGACCAGUGGAUUUUUUUGAAUCCGACGUCUGAGUCUGGCCUCCCCGAUGAAAAUGUGUUCUGACACGAGGGAACUUUCUGCCUGAAGCAGGAAGGGUUAGAAAUCACGACAAUAGAUUGUUUAGAGAGAAAAAUCAUAGGUAGAUCAUGAUGCUAUAUGCGGGGCAGUGACCUCCAGGGUGGUAUGGUCGGAGCUCAAGAGCCCCCAUAGAAGCUUUUAUCUUUGGACUUGCUUACGCCCCCUGAUGUGCGUUGUUGAUGUGUAGCAUACAUCUAA